rnacentral:tRNA from 1 species
GGAGAGGUGGCUGAGCGGCCGAAAGCGCCGGUUUGCUAAACCGGUGAGCGGGUAUAACCUGCUCCACGGGUUCGAAUCCCGUCCUCUCCG